rnacentral:rRNA from 1 species
GGCAACCUUACCAGGACAAGACGUAAGAAGGAUUGACAGACUGAUCGCUCUUUCUUGAUUUUAUGGGUGGUGGUGCAUGGCCGUUCUUAGUUCGUGGAGUAAUUUGUCUGGUUAAUUCCGUUAACGAACGAGACCUUAACUUGCUAAUUGGGAUGUGUAUUCUAUACAUAAUCCCUCUUAGAAGGACUAUGCGUAAAUAACACAAGGAAGCGUGAGGCAAUAA